rnacentral:rRNA from 1 species
UACAGAGGGUGCAAGCGUUAAUCGGAAUUACUGGGCGUAAGCGUGCGCAGGCGGUUUUGUAAGUCUGUCGUGAAAGCCCCGGGCUCAACCUGGGAAUUGCGAUGGAGACUGCAAGGCUUGAAUCUGGCAGAGGGGGGUAGAAUUCCACGUGUAGCAGGUGAAAUGCGUAGAGAUGAUGGAGGAACACCGAUGGCGAAGGCAGCCCCCUGGGUCAAGAUUGACGCUCAUGCACGAAAGCGUGGGGAGCAAACAGG